UCCCAGUAAAACGUCGACGUUCCUUCUCUGAAUAUUGGGGAAAGUUAGGGCUUUGUCUUCGUCUUCUUCAAUUCGCAAUUGUCAUCUUCUUCUUCUUCAAUUCGUGCAGAGACGACACAUAUAUGUACUUGCUGAGAUGUCUUCUUCUAAUUUAGGUUAAUUUCCAUGAUAAUUCGAGUUGGUUUAUGUUGAUUACGAUAGUCCUGUAUGGGAUUAGUGCAAGAUUAGUAUCAAACCCAAACCUUGUUAAUGUGUCAUUUCUCCUUUUGCCGAGUGUAUACAACUUGCUUGAUGAUAUAUCCCCUGAGAUACGGUCAUGAAUUAAUUCCUAGAAUUGCUCAAUCUGAAGAUGUUUUGAUAUAGUUCACAUGUCAUGAAUCGAUUGGUUAAUUAUUAGACAUGAUUCUUGAUGUAAUUUCAUAGUUGCCGAGCACGACACUGAACUUUCGUUGCUUCUGUUUCUCUGCUCACCAUGUCUUCGUGCUUCACGGGUUUCUACGGUGACCGGUGAUGGUUGCCGGUGAACGGUGGAGGGUGAUUUUCCGGAAUAGGAGAUGUGGAGGCGUCAAUUGAAUUCCUCGCUGAUAGGAUGAAUGACCUUAAAAGAGAAGGAAAAGGAGCAAAGGUGCCCGAGCCAGAGUCAAGAGUCAACUGCAGCUAUGAUAUGAAGGAUGCGGAAAAACCUUUAUUGACGUUGGUGUUUUGAGAAAGCAUUCUCAUAUCCAUGACAUCUUUUAGCAGGGGCUUGACUUAAAUGAAGUUGUGUUUUAGAUGAUGCAGAGCGUCUUGUAGGUGUUUUUUUUAGAUCUCCCAUUUCCUCUUUUCGAUUUAUUUGUUUUUAAUGUCGGUGAAAGACCUAUUGAGUUGUAAUCCUUGUUGAUCUUGAAAUACAAAAGUUACCGUAUUAGUUCCUU